GAUGAACGCUAGCGGCAGGCUUAAUACAUGCAAGUCGAGGGGCAGCAUGACUGUAGCAAUACAAUUGAUGGCGACCGGCAAACGGGUGCGGAACACGUACACAACCUCCCAAUAAGUGGGGAAUAGCCCAGAGAAAUUUGGAUUAAUACCCCGUAACAUAACGAUGUGGCAUCACAUUGUUAUUAUAGAUUUUUCGCUUAUUGAUGGGUGUGCGGCUGAUUAGAUAGUUGGCGGGGUAACGGCCCACCAAGUCUACGAUCGGUAGCUGAUGUGAGAGCAUGAUCAGCCACACGGGCACUGAGACACGGGCCCGACUCCUACGGGAGGCAGCAGUAAGGAAUAUUGGACAAUGGACGCAAGUCUGAUCCAGCCAUGCCGCGUGAAGGAUUAAGGUCCUCUGGAUUGUAAACUUCUUUUAUAAGGGACGAAAAAAGGCUUUUCUAAGUCGUCUGACGGUACCUUAUGAAUAAGCACCGGCUAACUCCGUGUCAGCCGCCGCCGUAACAC
rnacentral:rRNA from 1 species